rnacentral:rRNA from 1 species
GGUGACGGCGUGCUUUUUGUAGAACGAUCCAGCGAGUUAAUUUUUACGGCGAGGUUAAGUCAGAUGAUGAAGCCAUAGUGAAAGCGAGCAUUAACAGUGCGAUUUAGUCGUAAGGAUUAGACCCGAAACCAGGUGACCUAACCAUGAGCAGGUUGAAGCAACCUUAAUCGGUUGUGGAGGACCGAACCAGUGUAUAUUGCAAAAUGCUUGGAUGACUUGUGGUUAGCGGUGAAAUGCCAAUCGAACUUGGAGAUAGCUGGUUCUCCGCGAAAUAGUUAUAGGACUAGCGUCGUGUGAUAGCUUACGGGGGUAGAGCUCUGUCAAGAGAUAGGGGGAGCAAUCCUACCUACUCUUAAUAAACUACGAAUACCGUAUGUCUGUAUCACGGCAGUUAGAACGUCGGUGCUAAGAUCGGCGCUCAAAAGGGAAACAGCCCAGACCAUCAUCUAAGGUCCCCAAAUUUACGCUAAGUGGGAAACAAGGUGGAAUUUCUUAAACAGCUAGGAUGUUGGCUUAGAAGCAGCCAUUCAUUUAAAGAGUGCGUAACAGCUCACUAGUCAAGAGAUUCUGCGUGGAAGAUAUAACGGGGCUAAGCGUAAUACCGAAGAUAUGGAUUGCAAUUUAUUGCAGUGGUAGCGGAGCGUUCCUAUCAGCAGUGAAGCCGGACUGUUAAGUACUGGUGGAGCGUUAGGAAGUGAGAAUGCUGGAACGAGUAACCAUAAGACAGGUGAGAAUCCUGUCGGCCGAAAGAGCGAGGUUUCCUGGGCUAUGGUAAUCAUCCCAGGGUUAGUCGGGCCUAAGCCGAGGCGUUUAGCGUAGGCGAUGGACAUCAGGUUAAUAUUCCUGAACUAGUCAAACUUUGUAUGCAGUUAGCGAUGAGAUAGGUGGAGCGGAUUCAUGGUUUAUCCGUUCAAGUGAUAGAGGAAUCUUGAUCGAGUAAAAGUGAACCUACGGGUUUACGAUUCCGCUGAAGGCAUUGACCAGAAAAGCUGGCAUACGCAUGGGUUUGGCUACCCGUACCGCAAACCGACACAGGUGCUCGAGUCGAGGAGACUAAGGCUUACGAGAGAAUGAUUGCUAAGGAACUCGGCAAUACAGCGACCGUAACUUCGGAAUAAGGUCUGCCUACAUUUGUAGGCCGCAGCUAAAGAGCCCACGGAACUGUUUAUCAAAAACUCAGGUCUCUGCUAACACGAAAGUGGAUGUAUAGGGGCUGAAACCUGCCCGGUGCCGGAAGGUUAAGGGGAUUGCUUCACGGUGAGAACUGAAGCCCCGGUGAACGGCGGCGGUAACUAUAACCGUCCUAAGGUAGCGAAAUUCCUUGUCAGGUAAGUUCUGACCCGCACGAAUGGUUAAAUCAUGUGGGCACUGUCUCAGCAAUUAUCUCGGUGAAAAUGCAUUGGCGGUAAAGAUGCCGUCUGUCCGCACCAGGACGAAAAGACCCCGUGGAGCUUCACUACAGCUUUACAUUGUUGUGGGUUCUAACUUGUGUAGUAUAGGUGGGAGACUUUGAAGCAGAUACGCUAGUAUUUGUGGAGUCAUCAGUGAAAUACCACCCCCGUUAGGAUCUGCAUCUAACCUGUGCCGUUAUCCGGUAUAGGGACCGUGUAUGGUUGGUAGUUUAACUGGGGCGGUUGCCUCCUAAAGAGUAGCGGAGGCGUUCAAAGGUUGGCUAGCUACGGAUGGAAAUCGUAGUGGUAGUGUAUACGCAUAAGCCAGCUUGACUGUGAGGAGUACAUUCCGAUCAGAUGCGAAAGCAGGAGUAAGUGAUCCGCUGGACGAACCAUUGGUUCAUGAAUGUGGGAUUGCCAGCGCAAACGGACAAAAGUUACCCCGGGGAUAACAGGCUGAUAGCGCCCAAUAGUUCACAUAGACGGCGCUGUUUGGCACCUCGAUGUCGGCUCAUCACAUCCUGGAGGGGGAGCACCUUCCAAGGGUUCGGCUGUUCGCCGAUUAAAGUGGUACGCGAGCUGGGUUCAGAACGUCGUGAGACAGUUCGGUUUAUAUCCGGUGUGGACGUCAGGAAACUUGCGAGGAUUUGCCCCUAGUACGAGAGGACCGGGGUGAACGCACCUCUGGUGUAUCGGUUGUGACCACCUGUCGCAUUGCCGAGUAGCUAUGUGCGGAGCAGAUAAGCGCUGAAAGCAUAUUAAGCGCGAAACUGACCUCAAGAUUAGGUUUCCCUAUGAGGACACUAAUAGACGAUUAGUUUGAUAGGCACAAGGUGGAAGCACAGUAAUGUGUGGAGCUGAAGUGUACUAAUAGUCCCACUGCCUUUUUAUGU